AGAGUUUGAUCCUGGCUCAGAAUGAACGCUGGCGGCAUGCCUAACACAUGCAAGUCGAACGAGACCUUCGGGUCUAGUGGCGCACGGGUGCGUAACGCGUGGGAAUCUGCCCUUGGGUUCGGAACAACUUCGGGAAACUGAAGCUAAUACCGGAUGAUGACGUAAGUCCAAAGAUUUAUCGCCCAGGGAUGAGCCCGCGUAGGAUUAGCUAGUUGGUGGGGUAAAGGCCUACCAAGGCGACGAUCCUUAGCUGGUCUGAGAGGAUGAUCAGCCACACUGGGACUGAGACACGGCCCAGACUCCUACGGGAGGCAGCAGUGGGGAAUAUUGGACAAUGGGCGAAAGCCUGAUCCAGCAAUGCCGCGUGAGUGAUGAAGGCCUUAGGGUUGUAAAGCUCUUUUACCCGGGAAGAUAAUGACUGUACCGGGAGAAUAAGCCCCGGCUAACUCCGUGCCAGCAGCCGCGGUAAUUC
rnacentral:rRNA from 1 species